UACAGAGGGUGCAAGCGUUAAUCGGAGUUACUGGGCGUAAAGGGCGCGUAGGCGGUAAGAUGUGAGUGAUGUGAAAGCCCCGGGCUUAACCUGGGAAGAGCAUCGUUAACUAUUUAACUAGAGUAUAAGAGAGGGUGGCGGAAUUUCCGGUGUAGCGGUGAAAUGCGUAGAGAUCGGAAGGAACGUCAAUGGCGAAGGCAGCCACCUGGCUUAAUACUGACGCUGAGGCGCGAAAGCGUGGGGAGCGAACAGG
rnacentral:rRNA from 1 species